rfam:Salmo salar isolate Sally breed double haploid chromosome ssa16, whole genome shotgun sequence.
UUAGAUACCAUUUGUAAGUCGCUCUGGAUAAGAGCGUCUGCUAAAUGACGUAAA